GUGCUUGAUUUUUAAACAUAAAGGACAAAACUCGUCGAAUUUAAACAUAAAGGACAAAACUUGCAAAGUGGCCUAAAGAUAAAGGACAAAACUUGAAAUUCACUCAAAAACAUAUCUUAAGGAUAAGAUUGGUAAUGGAAAAUGUACUUAAAACAUAUUCAAUGCACAAUGUACAAGACUUUCAGUUCAUUUACGUAUGAGUUGGUCUCUAAUAAUGCAUAUAACCUCUUUAUCACUUUAUUUAAAACUCAAUAACAUUACUUUUGUUUUGUGUCACACCAUAUGACCAGUUUUGAUUCGGUAUUCAAGAACAUAUUGAUCUGGGUAUCAAUAUCAUAUUGACUGGUGAUUAUGCAUCUACGGCUCCAUGAGUUGGCUUUGUCCAUUAGAGGGUGCGUCUUGCUAUGCCGAUCACUAUAGUUAUUUGUACUUCCAGCAUUGGUGAGUUCAAAAGGCGCCUUCAACAUGUUUAUGCCUUCCAUGGCCACAUCAGAAAAAAGAGGGCAAUCCAGCAACUUGUGUCGUUAUUCAACCAUGGUCUGGUGGAUGUCUAAAGAAGCUCCCAAAGUGGAAUUAUGAUCGGUCCAGCUCAUGGGAAGCCCAUCGGGAAGACAGUGAAGUUAUUUUAUAAAUGCUUUUAGUAUAAUAUUCAAAUUUUAUCUUAACAACAUAUACUUGCAGUAUAAUAUUCAAAUUUUCUUUUUAAUUUGUUUAGCUGUGGAAAAUUGGGUAUGAAUGAGAAUGAAAAGGAAUACAAAUCUGACCUUCACAUUGCUUCAAACGCCAGCUGUACCACCCAUUGCCUUACCCCUCUGGCCAAGCUACACAGAAGACUGCUAAUGCACCGACCACCAGCCAAGGACUGGAGAGGUGGAAGGGUUGCAUUCAACAUCAUUCCCAACAGUACUUGUACUGCUAAGGUGGCAAGACAGCUUGGUGUGCUUAUUGAGCCAGAAAACUUGCAAUUAAUGUCUCCUUUGUCAAGUGUAGGGGAAUUUUAUUGAUGUGGCAGGUGGGGGUUGGGUGUGUUACUCCCCUUGAGGUCAAGGGUUCAAGCCCUGUCGAAGGCAACUUUAGUGUAAUUUAAACUGGUCAAUAUAUAUUUAUGGCUUUGCUAAUUCAUGUAUAAUGCAUUAUGACUUUGACAAACAUUUGGUUACUGGAUUCUUUGUUAUUUUUUUCUUUUGAAAAGACGCACAACUUAAUAAAACGGUAUUACGAUUUUGACAAACUUUUGAUUAAUGAAUAGGUGGUUCUUUGUUAAUCUUUUGUAUUGAAAAGACGCAUGAUUUAACAAAACGUUGUGUACAAUUUAUGUAAAAUACUUUUUCUUUUCCAAAAUAAAUAAAUGAAUCUUGUGGACCCACUCAAUGCAAUUGGUUUGUUUUCACCAUGAGUAAUUGGUAAACACAUAACUUCAACUUUGAUUGUUUCGGAAAAGAAAUAUUGCAACUAAUCAACUAUCAUUUGGGAAUUUACAAAUAAGAUAGUAGCGUUGAGACACUUAAACUCAUUGUUGAACACGAAAUACGAGGCACGUGACUUUAUUAUGAAGCGUUCUUUAAACUUUUGCAAAGCCGGCCUACAUAGUCAUUAAGGAGGGCCGAAGAUAUAUC
rnacentral:lncRNA from 1 species